AGGAGGAACCGCCCCAGUGGCCGUGCAGCUCUGGAAACCUGGAUUCAGCUCCGGCAGGAACUCCGUCUGCAGGGCCUGGAGGCUCCGGGGCGGG
rnacentral:pre_miRNA from 1 species